CCUACGGGCGGCAGCAGUGAGGAAUAUUGGUCAAUGGGCGGGAGCCUGAACCAGCCAAGUCGCGUGAGGGAAGAAGGUACUGCGUAUUGUAAACCUCUUUUAUCUGGGAAUAAAGUGGGGAACUAGUCCCUUGUUGUGUGUACCAUAUGAAUAAGCAUCGGCUAACUCCGUGCCAGCAGCCGCGGUAAUACGGAGGGUGCAAGCGUUAUCCGGAUUUAUUGGGUGUAAAGGGUGUGUAGGUGGUUAAGUAAGUCAGCGGUGAAAGUUUGUGGCUCAACCAUAGAAUUGCUGUGGAAACUGGUUGGCUUGAGUAUAGGUGAGGUAGGCGGAAUGCGUGGUGUAGCGGUGAAAUGCAUAGAUAUCACGCAGAACUCCGAUGGCGAAGGCAGCUUACUAGACUAUAACUGACGCUGAGGCACGAAAGCGUGGGGAGCAAACAGGAUUAGAUACCCUAGUAGUC
rnacentral:rRNA from 1 species